UUUGAUCCUCAAAACAACCGCAGCAGGUAUCAUUAUCCCACCUUGCAGGUGAAAAAACUGAGUCCCAGAAAGACUGAAUAACUUGCUCUAAGUUAUACAACUAGUUAAAGGCAGGGCUGGGAGCAGAAGCCUUCUGCCUUUCAGCUCAGAACCCCUCCCAAUGCCUAAUGGCAGCCCAGGGAGUCGGGGAGCUGGAGCCAAAUGUGCCUGCAUCAUUGGGGGCAAGGAAGCUGAGGCUCAGGGAGAGGGUCCACCCCAGACUUCAACCACACCUCCAGCCUGCUCCUCACACUCACAUAGGGCGAAUAAUGAGGAGUCCUGAAGACAGUCUUAUGCCAGCUCCAUCGGUCUGGACAAAGAACCUCAUCUUCCACAAGAAUCAUGCUGUAAAGGAUCCCAGCGUCCUCCAAGCUAGGCAAAUCCCUCAUCUAAAAGUCCCCUGGUCCCAUAUCACACCUGCUUCCCAGCCCCACCAGCACUUCCCACUGAUUUCCCAAAA